rnacentral:lncRNA from 1 species
ACCAUCUUUGGGUCAAUGAGUAUAAAUUGUAUGGGCAACUGAAAUACAAUUAUAGUAGAUAUAUAUUGAAAGGCUAUAACUGGUUAAUCUUCCCAUGGAAGGUGAUUAGAAGUGAGAAAAAAGUAAAAUUGAGACCAGUAAAUUCUGUCUCUUGAUAGCACCUGGUUGGAAAUUUGCUGGGAAAGGAAGUUGGUGAGUGAUAGCUAAGGAGAGAUGAGAAGCUCCAAGAUGGUUCAAGGACCCCGCUACACUUGAACCUGGGAGGCAGAGGUUGGAGUGAGCCGAGAUGGCGCCACUACACUCCAGCCUGGGCAACAAGAGCAAAACUUCGUCUCAAAAAAAAAAAAAAAAAAAAAAAAAAGGGGCCAGAGAAAAGGGAAAAACAUUAAACUCUUACUGGUUGUAUUUAUUAUUAACCAGUUGUUUUAUUGUUUAGUAACUAUUAUUUCAUUAGAAUUGAUCGAUUAUCAACAAGUUAUUUUAGAAAGAAUAGUCAGCUAAUCAGAGGUCAUCUAUCUAUCUUAUCCAUCCAUUCAUCACCAAACACUUACAUAACAUUUAUUAUGUGCCAAGCUCUGCUGUAAUUAGUUUAUGCAUAUUGACUCAUUUAAUAUUGUGUCCGGAAUUGGUGAGUUCUUGGUCUCGCUGACUUCAAGAAUGAAGACACGGACCCUCGCAGUGAGUGUUAGAGUUCUUAAAGAUGCUGUGUCCCGAGUUCGUUCCUUCAGAUGUUCAGAUGUGUCCGGAGUUUCUUCCUUCUGGUGGUUUCGUGGUCUCACUGGCUUCAGGAGUGAAGCUGAAGACCUUCGCGAGGGAGUCGACUCCGGCCUCGGCCAGCCCAGAGAGUGGCUCUCACAGUGCAGCGGAGGGCUGAAGGGCUUCUCAAGCACGGCCAGAGUACACGCCGAGGCCAAGGAAGCGCCGAGAACGAGCGAGAGCUGCUAGCACUUUGUCACCUCUCAAUGUCACAACAAUCCUAUGAGAGCUGAGCCAACAUGCAUAUGAUAACUGGAGACUGAAAAAAUUUAGGGAGAGAGAACCAUGCAAGUCAAGGGCAUUGUAAAGAUGAAUUUAGAAUCUCCAGUGACAGCAGGCCCUCAUUUGGAUGCUUGGAUUCUAAAAUGUUUGCUAAAAGGUAAGUCAGAGCAUUUGGUCAUAUGUCAUCUAAACUACACUUCUACCUGUACCUAAGAUGUAGGAAGAGGCUGAAUGAUAUAGAUACUGGUUUCAAGGUCAGUAUAGUAAAUUGAAAAGAGUUCUUCUAACCCAGAUCUUUACUGUUAGGCAUUCCUUUCCCCUUCUCUGAUUCUUUAUAGGUGAAAGAAGGGAUUGAAAGAUAUGAAAUGUAAAGUACCACCAGUUAAAAAUUCCACUUUUCCAAAGAGAAACCCUCAUUCAUAUUUUAUAUAGUUUUAAGGUGACCCAUGGUUAAUUAUUCUUUGCUGGAUAUAGUUAUAGAAUCUCCAUAUUCACACUAGUUAAGGAGGUGAGAACACUUACCAAUAUCAGAGGAAGCAAAUGAAGCAUAAAACCUUCUCAGCAAACUAACACAAGAACAGAAAACCAAACACUGCUUGUUCUCACUCAUAAGUGAGAGUUGAACAAUGAGAACACAUGGACACAGGGAGGGGAGCAUCAUACACUGGGGCCUGUCAGGGGAUGGGGGGCUAGAGGAGGGAUAGCAUUAGGAGAAAUACCAAAUGUAGAUGACGGAUUGAUGGGUGUAGCAAACCACCAUGGCACGUGUAUACCUAUGUAACAAAACUGCACAUUCUGCACACGUAUUCCCAGGACUUAAAGUUUAAUUAAAAAAAAAAACCCUUACUCAAAAUUAUUCAUCUGCUAAGUGAAAGGACUGUAAUUAGAAUUUCCUUAAAUUCCAUUUGUUGACAUGCUGCUUGAAACUAUUCUAAAGUUAUUUCAAAUAUACAUAUUUAUGGCAAAUGACAAAUCUAUUCAAAUAAGACAGUGAAGACUCUUCCAGAAUUAUUUUAUUUAUAUUUCAUCUCCCUUCUAAAAACUCAGUGGUAUAGUUGUUCUUGAAUUAAUAAUUGUUAACCAAGUUUUUACUAAACAUCUCAAGUCUUAUCAGCCAUAUAUUAUCUUGAUAUUAACUAAUGUAAUACAGAUGAUCUAGUAUAAAGGAAAGAUUAAAAUUUCAGGCUCUAACAUCAUACAGACCUGGGUUAAAAUGCUUAUAUGAAUUAUGAGGAUUCUCCUUAGGAGGAGCAAUAGGUUUGUUUUGAAGGGAUAUACUUUGAGAGUAAAGAAUGAGACCCCCCCAAGAGCAUGCUUAAAAACAACAGAAGCAGAGAGCAAGGACAGGAGUUGUCUCUUUCCUGAUAGAAAGAGUGGGAAGAAAGGCCGAGUCUGAAAUUGGCCAAAUCCCAAGGAAUGCAUUGUGUGAGUAAAUUUCUUGAUGGAGAAAUAUGUAUCUGUAGCUGAAAUCAAUGUAGGGCAAAAGAGACAAUACAUGUUACAAUGUCUGAUUUACUUUAAAUUACUUCAACAUAGAUAUGAUAUGAUGUACAUGCCAAUUACCUUACAUUAUAACUCUAGAGGUAGACUAUUUACUGAAUAAUGCACCUUGCAGGGGUAGUCAGCUAGGUUGUACCUAUAGUUCUCUGUACUUCCCUGAACACCUGAGGCUUUUCAUCAUAUUAUUACUAUAGUAUUCUACUCACACACUCUAUUGCACUUAUCUGUAUAUUUAUCUGCUUUUCUUGUUUGAAUUUGAGGUUUGGGGGUGGAUGGUCCAGGACCAUAAACUUACAUAUUUUUGUAAACUUAACAGUGAUCAGGGUGCCUGGCACACAGUAGGUAUAUCAUAAAAGUUUCUGAAUAAGUGGUAGAACAAAUGUAGAAUGAAAGCUUUUUGAGACCUCUGUUUUUAUAGUAGUCACUCUAGUUCAGAUACCAGGUUAGAGAGGGCAGUAGAGCUAGUGAUGCAGUUUAGCUGUUUGCUUGCAUCUCUUUCUAUGUGGACAUCUUUGUUUUGUUUUAUACUAUCCUUUUCCCCUAAAAGAAGAAAAUUGGCUUAUAAAUACACAUAAACUACAGUAGGAUAAAAAAUAAACAGGUGAACAAAUAUGAGUGAAAGUAAAAUCAAGAUAGAAAAUUAAGAUAUACCAGGGAUACAGUUCAUAUAAAAAGUUCAUGUAACAAAGAUGCUACAUAUUUGAUAAAAAGUGAGACAUAAUAGUGGUUCUGCUCUUCCCUUUAACAAAACAAAGAGAGAAACAAGCCCAGUAGCAAAACUUGCCGUGUUGAUGGGCUAAAUACAAACCAUGUACUAAGAAGAAUGCCA